rnacentral:lncRNA from 1 species
CCGUCGACGAACGGAGCCACCUCAACUGCAACGGCCGAAUACUACCAGAGAAGCAAGUUCUCAGCAAGACAAUGUUGACUGGCAUCGACCUAGAAAUUCCGUCCAAAAUCUGCAACGCACACCUCACCAUAAUAGGGCAUCAAAUAUCCAAUGCUAUAAUUGCAAAAACUGGGGCCAUUUUUCAAAAGACUGCCUACAGAGAUGCAAUAGGCCAAAUAAUAUUCCUCGUAAUAAAACCUACCAAUCGAGACAAAAUCAGGGAAACUAAGCGAGAGGGCAAGACAGGAGGUUUGUACCUCUAAUACUGAAAAAAACCUCCUUCAUUGGAUUAUCGAUUACAAGUACGACUAAUUUGCCAUUCAUUUCUAUCUUUAUUAAUAAUGUUAUUGUUAAUGCUCGCAUAGAUAUUGGAGCCGAUGACACCACC